rnacentral:lncRNA from 1 species
GCUGCAGGUGAGAGACGGCGUGAGGGCAGUGCUCGGGCUACCUCCACCCUAGCCCUCGCCGGGCACAAAGGACCGGGCGCCCGACCUCUGACCCUGACCUCAGUCGUGGGAUCCCGACCUCCGCGGGGCUUGGAACCCAACCCCCUCCCCGGUCCCCGCCUCCAAGGCCAGACGCACCUUCCCGAGGGCCGACCCCGUCGCGUGGGGAGGGGCGCUGAGUCCGCCCCGGCCCCCGCCCCCCUGCGCUCACCUGCCCCAGCCUGGCGUCCCGGCCGCGCGCCGCCGCCGCAGAGGUUGUCUCAAAGGCAGGCCCGGACGCGGCGCCCGCGUCUUGGCCUGGCAGCUUGGGGCUCCGGCGGCUCCCGCGGCGGCCGCAGCGACCUCAGGCGAUGGCAGGGCCCGGGCGGCACCGAGGGCGCGGGCGCGGGCGCGGGGCGCGGGUUUCGGCGCGGCGGCGGCGGCGGCAGGUGCGUGCGGAGCGUGGCGCGCUCUGCGGCGGAGGCGCGGGGACCGCAGUGCGCGCGGCGCCCGCCCGCGCCCGCAGCGCCACCCCCGUCUGGGGACCCGCGCGGGGUCUGCGGGGCGGGGCCAGCCUCCCGGCCGCCCCUCGGUCCGCUCCCGGCGUCGCCCUCGCUGGCGGACUGCGUGGGGGGCAGGACCCCCGCGUCUCCCCCAGUUCUUUCCAGGCUGACCCUGGGUCCUGGUCAAGCCUCCCGCCUCCAAAUUCAGGAGGGGAAUCCGGCUGUUCUCCUCCCUCACACUAGGAGGCCUCAGGACGCUGGAGGGAGAGGGAGGGGACCUGCGCGGUGGAUCCCAGGGGAGCUGGUUCCAGAGCCCACCGGUGCCUGCCCCCGCCCCCCGCCCCAUGGGAAGUCCCCGAGUCCUCCGGCUUCGCCCAUGCCCGGUGCCGCAGCUCAGAGAGGGUGCUGUCACCCUAAGGGGCAAGAGCUGGGCAGGUGGAGCGGGUCAGAGGGCCGACGCCGGUGGACGGACGGGUCCGGUGGGAGUGCGCGAAGGACAGGCUGGCAGCCCAGUGCGGCGCGCAGGCGGCCCUGA